rnacentral:rRNA from 1 species
UACGUAGGGUGCGAGCGUUAAUCGGAAUUACUGGGCGUAAAGCGUGCGCAGGCGAUUUUGUAAGUCAGAUGUGAAAUCCCCCGGGCUCAACCUGGGGAACUGCGUUUUGAAACUACAAGGCUAGAGUGUAGCAGAGGGGGGGUAGAAUUCCACGUGUAGCAGUGAAAUGCGUAGAGAUGUGGAGGAAUACCAAUGGCGAAGGCAGCCCCCUGGGUUAACACUGACGC